CAGCCGCCGCGGGAAUACGAAGGGGGCUAGCGUUGCUCGGAAUGACUGGGCGUAAAGGGCGUGUAGGCGGUUUUGACAGUCAGAUGUGAAAUUCCUGGGCUUAACCUGGGGGCUGCGUUUGAGACGUUAAGACUAGAGUGUGAGAGAGGGUUGUGGAAUUCCCAGUGUAGAGGUGAAAUUCGUAGAUAUUGGGAAGAACACCGGUGGCGAAGGCGGCAACCUGGCUCAUUACUGACGCUGAGGCGCGAAAGCGUGGGGAGCAAACAGGAUUAGAGACCCCUGUAGUCCCUGUCUCUUAUAC
rnacentral:rRNA from 1 species